AUUGAACGCUGGCGGCAUGCCUUACACAUGCAAGUCGAACGGCAGCACGGGAGCAAUCCUGGUGGCGAGUGGCGAACGGGUGAGUAAUAUAUCGGAACGUGCCCAGUCGUGGGGGAUAACGCAGCGAAAGCUGUGCUAAUACCGCAUACGAUCUAUGGAUGAAAGCGGGGGAUCGCAAGACCUCGCGCGAUUGGAGCGGCCGAUAUCAGAUUAGCUAGUUGGUGAGGUAAAGGCUCACCAAGGCGACGAUCUGUAGCUGGUCUGAGAGGACGACCAGCCACACUGGAACUGAGACACGGUCCAGACUCCUACGGGAGGCAGCAGUGGGGAAUUUUGGACAAUGGGCGAAAGCCUGAUCCAGCAAUGCCGCGUGCAGGAUGAAGGCCUUCGGGUUGUAAACUGCUUUGUACGGAACGAAACGGUGAGCUCUAAUACAGUUUGCUAAUGACGGUACCGUAAGAAUAAGCACCGGCUAACUACGUGCCAGCCGCCGCCGUAA
rnacentral:rRNA from 1 species